rnacentral:rRNA from 1 species
CCUACGGGGGGCUGCAGUGGGGAAUAUUGGACAAUGGGGGGAACCCUGAUCCAGCCAUGCCGCGUGUGUGAAGAAGGCCCUCGGGUUGGAAAGCACUUUCAGUGAGGAAGAACGCCUGGUGGUUAAUACCCAUCAGGAAAGACAUCACUCACAGAAGAAGCACCGGCUAACUCCGUGCCAGCAGCCGCGGUAAUACGGAGGGUGCGAGCGUUAAUCGGAAUUACUGGGCGUAAAGCGCGCGUAGGUGGCUUGAUAAGCCGGUUGUGAAAGCCCCGGGCUCAACCUGGGAACGGCAUCCGGAACUGUCAAGCUAGAGUGCAGGAGAGGAAGGUAGAAUUCCCGGUGUAGCGGUGAAAUGCGUAGAGAUCGGGAGGAAUACCAGUGGCGAAGGCGGCCUUCUGGACUGACACUGACACUGAGGUGCGAAAGCGUGGGUAGCAAACAGGAUUAGAUACCCUAGUAGUC